rnacentral:lncRNA from 1 species
AAAUAAAGAUAUAAAAUUUCUUAAUAAAAAUAUGCAAAAACUACUAAGGCUAAAACAAACAACUACAAAACACUAUAAUAAAACCAAUUUUAAAAGAUAGAUCAUUUAGAUUAUCUUAAAGUUUUAAUCUUAUAUAUACUUAAAGAUAUAAAAAUAAUAGAUAUCAAGAAAAUAAUAUUAGAAGAAGUAAUAAACUAUGAAAUUGAAACUGCAAAUUGUCUAGAACAGUUAUACGAAGAAAUUUACCCAGAAGGAUAUUAUUCAGAUUAAAAAAUGUUAGAAUAUAUUAGACAAACUAGAGAAAAUCAAGAAAAUCUAAAUAAUGAAAUUAAUUAUAGAAACCGAAUUAGACAAAUAAUGAAAGACCUAAAAGAAAAAUUAAUAUGGAUAGAAAAAACCUUAGAAAAUUUAGAUAAAAGUACAUGUGAUAGUUUAUAUAAUUUAAAAACCUCACUACGAGAAGAACAACACAAAAUAAUAAAUAACAUCGAAAAUCUAGAAUUAGAUAUAUAUUAUAGCACAGAUAGG